UACGUAGGGGGCAAGCGUUGUCCGGAAUCAUUGGGCGUAAAGAGCGCGUAGGCGGCCCGAUAAGUCCGCCGUGAAAGUCCAGGGCUCAACCCUGGAAUGCCGGUGGAAACUGUCGGGCUGGAGUCCGGAAGAGGCGAGUGGAAUUCCUGGUGUAGCGGUGAAAUGCGCAGAUAUCAGGAGGAACACCAAUGGCGAAGGCAGCUCGCUGGAACGGUACUGACGCUGAGGCGCGAAAGCGUGGGGAGCGAACAGG
rnacentral:rRNA from 1 species